AACGAACGCUGGCGGCAUGCUUAACACAUGCAAGUCGAACGAGACCUUCGGGUCUAGUGGCGCACGGGUGCGUAACGCGUGGGAACCUGCCCUUAGGUUCGGAAUAACUCCCCGAAAGGGGUGCUAAUACCGGAUAAUGUCUUCGGACCAAAGAUUUGUCGCCUUUGGAUGGGCCCGCGUUGGAUUAGCUGGUUGGUAGGGUAAAAGCCUACCAAGGCGACGAUCCAUAGCUGGUCGGAGAGGAGGAUCAGCCACACUGGGACUGAGACCCGGCCCAGACUCCGACGGGAGGGAGCAGUGGGGAAUAUUGUACAAUGGGCGAUGGCGUGAUCCAGCAAUGCCGCGUGAGUGAGGAAGGCCGUAGGGUUGUAAAGCUCUUUUACCCGGGAUGAUAAUGACGGUACCGGGAGAAGAAGCACCGGCUAACUCCGUG
rnacentral:rRNA from 1 species